rnacentral:lncRNA from 1 species
CUCAGGAGAGUCGUCACAGUCUCCAAACACUUCAGCAAAGUCUGAUGGACUUUUCCGCAGAGUCUGGUCAGCUGGCAGUGUGUUGUCAUUGUAAGAUGACACAAACUUAAAGUCACUGGUUCGAGACCCUGUUGUCAGGUAGGCGUCAUAAUUGUAAGCGCUGCGUAAAGUUCCUGUGCCGUCAACAUCUGCGUAAUUAGGAGGGAGAUAAGCGCUGGGGAUGGCCACUGCUCCGUCAAACAACAGUCUGGGCUUUCUCCUGCGACAAAACCUCACACCAAGGAUGAUGAUGAUGAAGGUCAGAAAAAACGUUGACACACACACCAGCGCGAUGAUCAGAUAAGAGGUCAGUUUGGAGUUCUUCUCAUCAUAAGAAAUGUCCUUCAGUUCUGGCACCUCAGCCAAGUUAUCAGAAAUCAGUAAAUACAUGGAACAGGUGGCAGACAGAGAGGGCUGCCCGUUAUCUUUCACUGACACUACAAGGUUCUGUUUCAUGCUGUCAGAUUCAGAAAUGUCCCGCUGGGUCCUGAUCUCUCCACUGUGGACACCAAUAGUGAAAAGUCCCGGAUCCGUGGAUUUCACGAUUUGAUACGACAGCCAGGCGUUCUGUCCAGAGUCCGCGUCCACCGCUAUCACUUUGGACACCAGAGAGCCUCCGUGUGCAGCUUUGGGGACCAGCUCGGUCAUGAACGACUUGCCCUCCGGCCCGGGGUACAGGAUCUGAGGAGAGUUGUCAUUCACAUCGGAUAUGAACACACUCACGGUCACGUUGCUGCUGAGAGGAGGAGAACCGUUGUCUCUGGCCAUCACCUGAACUUUGAAGCUCCGGAACUGUUCAUAAUCAAACGACCUCACAGCGUGGAUCACCCCCGUGUCUCCGUUCACUGACACAUAGGAGGACACCGGGGCACCGUUCACCUCACCGCCUAACAGAGAAUAAAUCACUGUACCGUUCUGUCUCCAGUCGGGGUCUCGAGCACUAACGGAACAUAAAGUGGAGCCAGCUUUGUUAUUCUCACUCACAUAUGCGCUGUACGACUGCUCCUCAAACACAGGUGGGUUGUCGUUGAUGUCUGCUACAGAUAACUGAACAGUUUUAGACGACGACAGAGGUGGAGAGCCCUCGUCAGUGGCACUGAUUGUAAUGUUGUAAUCAGACACUAGUUCACGGUCCAGUUGUCCUGUGCUCACCAGAGAAUAAUAGUUUUUAAUUGAAGGAACCAAUUUAAAAGGGACAUUUUGCUGAAUGGAGCAGCGGACCUGUCUGUUACUAUCAGAGUCUCUGUCCUGCACGUUAAUGAUGCCCACCUCUGUACCAGGUGACACGUUCUCAGGUAUGGGAUUAGUCAGUGAUUUCACGUAUAUCACUGGAGCGUUAUCGUUUAUGUCCAUGACAUCAAUCAAUAGGGUUGCAUAUGAAAUCAAUCCUAGACCAUCUUUCGCACUUAUCUGCAUUUCAUAUGACGAUUCUUUUUCAUAAUCGAUGUUACCAGCUACUGUCACUUCUCCGGAUUUAGAGUCUAAAGUAAAUAUGUUGUUGUCAUCUGAAACAUGAUCAAAUCCAUAUGUGAUUUCACUAUUUAAACCCUCGUCUGCAUCAGUAGCACUCACUGUGAUCACCAGUGUAUCUACAGGAGAGUUUUCAGGCAGACUGGCUUUAUAAACGGCCUGACUGAACACUGGUACAUUAUCAUUAGCAUCCAGUACAGUGACGUGAAUGACUACUGUACCGGAUCUACGAGGAGAGCCUCCAUCAAAUGCAGUUAGUAACAACUUGAGCUCCUGUGUGACCUCUCUGUCUAAUUCUUUAUCUAAAACCAGUUCACCAUAUUUUCGCCCACCUCCUUUUGUGUUAACAUUUAAUUUAAAAUGAUCAUUCUGCUGAAGAGAAUAACCCUGAACACCAUUUUCCCCAAUGUCUCCAUCGUGUGCCUCUCCAAGAAGAAAACGUGCACCCUUAACAGCGGAUUCAUGAAUAUCAAAUCUUAGCAUCUCUUCUGCAAACUGAGGUGAAUUGUCGUUGAUAUCUUGAACGCGGAUAUUUAUUCGGUGCACCUCUAAAGGAUUUUCCAGGACGAGCUCCUGUUUCAAAACACAUGAUGCUCUUUUCGCACAAAGACCCUCUCUGUCGAUCCUUUCUUGUACCAUCAAUCCUCCGGUGUUCAGAUUUACGCUGCAGUAUUUCACACUGUUGUCCUCAGUAUCAACGCGGGCAUUGCGAGCCGACAGUCUUCCCGAUUCCAGUCCCAGAUCCUUCGCAAUAUUUCCAAUUACAGAUCCACGUUUCAUCUCCUCCGGAAUGGAGUAGCUCACGUCCCCAAAGACGAGGUGGAGGGCGAGAAAAAUAACAGCUAGGCCGCCAUGCAGCAUGAAUCCAAUAAAUCCCAUUGUUAGAGUCAAUAAAAAUCCAACAGACGGGCAAAAAACCUUAAAUACAGAUCACAUUUACCUCACACUAGAUCAGUUAUUCUGCGGUGAAAACCUUUUUAGAGUACUCAAAUACGAACCAGCUCACUACAAAAGCACAGACAGGAUAUACUGUCGUUGAGACAAAAGGGUGGAGAAUGACUGUGUUCUCUCGUUAGCUAGUACACACUGACACCAUGAGUGAGCUUCAGGUAUGACAGCAAGAUAGAUCUUUUCUGUGCAUAUUUAAGAAAUAUCCACCAACCCCGUCUCCUCAAUGUUCAGGGGAAAACAAAGACAUGUUAUCGUUCUCGCUGUGUCUCCCGAAGAACUACUGACAGUUUUGGGACAUCGGGGACAUACGAUGUGUUUACAAGCACAAACUAUCACAGAGUGCUAUUCUCACACGCAAUUUACAGCAGGUAAAUAUCCAGUUACCAUGAGUACUGUGAUGAUUUUGUCAACUCAAAAGAAAAAGCAUACCUCUUACACAGGUCUUAGUAUGAGCAAACACUGCGUGAGGAAAGAAAUUUUCACAUCAUAUCUUGACACACUACUUUGUCAAUAAAGAGGAAAAACUUAAUAAUUUCAAUUAAAUGUGAACAAUCACUGAAACCAAACUAAAGAAGUAGGAUGUGAAGACUAUAAGCAGAUAGACAGUAGUGAUUCCAAAGCAUCACAAACUGAAAAGGGUUCAGCAUCAAUGGAAGAGAGUUUAUCAUGCAUUUUUUUGCCUCUUGCUCAUGUUCGGUGAGAAAAUACUUCGCAAGAUCAAAUAAGCAAAAUGAAUUUAUUCACCAAAUAUAUAUUCACAGGCACCACAACAUAAAAUCAGUAUCAAAAACAUUAAUAGACUCACUAGACAGAUAGUCAAAGAGCAAAUGCUGAAAAAUAUCUUUUAAAAACUAAAUAAGGUCAACUAUAACUACACAAUGCCAACUAAGUGACAAUACAACUAUAGUCAAGCUGAUUACUUCAGGAGUCUGUCCCCACAUAUAUCUGUGACAAGACAAAAUAGGAGAAUCAUCCAUCAUAGGAUUUCUUUGUUUUUGAGGUUUUAGGAUGGAAACAUCAAGUACAAAAUCAUACAGUAGGAGGGAUACAUUGAUAAUAAAAGGCACCAAACUACUUCAUGUUCAAUAGAAUCUCAAACCUUAAGCCCAUGAGACACUCUUCACAGCACAGCUUAAUGCUGUGCUGAAUAAAAAUUACAAAAGCCUAUAAUAAACUGUAAAAAUAGAAACAAAAUAGCUCAGGGCUCAAAAAGACAUAGAAAUGAAUUGCUCACAUUUUUAAGAAAAUGUCUCCAGCACAGCUAGCCGGUGAAUAAUUGACAGGCUAGUAAAAAAAAUGAAAUCAACUGAGAAGACUAAAGUUGAUGGAGUCAGAUUUAACCAUGAAAAAGGGAAAGAAGAAACUAGUCGUGCACACUGAGGGAGACUUUACAUUUCACAAACUCAGCACUUAAUGAACUGUUGAUCACUGUAAACUAAAAGAACACCUCUGUACCUAUAUCAAGAACUGACCAUCUCACUGAAAGGGAAGAGACUGAACCGUGUUUUACAAAUGUUCUUACCUCAGGACAGUUAUGACUGUGUCUCUAAAUACUUCAGGAAGGUUAUUACAUGUUAUUACACUGAAAAGUGGGAGAAUGCCAAGACAAGAACAACUGACAAAGACAGGAAAAUGACUUCUUGCCUCGAGAACAAAUAUCCUCUAAAUUCAUUUCACUGCAUCCUUGCCUUAUCUGCAAGUUGAGUGGUUUCUUUUGUGCUUAAUUAUUGCAUCCACAUUUAUGGACUACUAUUACUUAAAAUACAUUUGCUUUGGAAAAAUCAAAUCAAAUCAAAUCUUUCAUCUGUAAUGAUGAGCACACAUUUAAAAUCAAAAUGGAGCAUCAGCACCAGGGAUAGAAAUCCAAAAAUACGAGUUUCAGAUCUGAACAAGAUACAAAAAGUGCAGAGUACAACACAUUCAUCAUGAGAUGAACGGGGAAAUUUCCAAAACAGAUUUAUCUGGAAAAUUAUCCAAACACUAAAGAAUAUAUAUUUAUAUUAAGUUCUACUUUUUUUAAAUAAAGAGCACCAAUUAUGGAACAAUAAUGGAGCACUGUGGAUGGAGAGGGACGAGAAACAAGAAAAUACCAUGAGACUUCAAAGACACAAAAUAAUUGAUCACAAACAUACAAGAUACAACAUCAAAGCUUAAAGCAGCAUUCUUUGUAAAACUCUUUAAAGAAAGCAACUAAGUUGAAAGUCUUUGAAGUAUACCUAAAAAGCACAAGCCUUUGAAAUCUCAAUAAAGCCACAAAGUAAAGUAAAAUCUUUCAGAGCAGGUACCUUCUCAAUCAAGGAAAAACAUCAAAGAGCCAGACACCUAAAAGACAGGACAACUAUGGCACAUCUGAGAAAAACGUGUUUUCUUUAAUCACUGGUGCGAAAGGGGGGAAAAAAUCAUUGAAAAUCAUUUCAAUGAAUCAUUUCGAGACAAAGCAAAUUUAAAUCCCCUUUUAAGACAGUAAAUUUGAAAUUACUGUCUACAGCUGUCCAUAAAACUGAAAAAUGUCACAAACAAUGCGCACAUGUUUCUACCUUAGGAGAGUCGUCAUAGUCCCCCAACUCUUCAGUAAAGUCUGUUGGACUUUUCAUCAGAACCUGAUGCUGAUAGGUCAGCGGUGUCAUCUGAAAUUAUCAAAACAAAUUAAAAACAGAGACCUAACUGUAAAGAGCACACGUUAUUACUAUUCAGUCAACAUCAGUGCGCAAAUCUGGAACUAAAAAAAGAUAUCAAAAGAGGCUGGGAUGUAUGAGUUAUAAGUCUAUUGUAAGAACAGGUAAGCAACAAUGAAGGGAAGCAUUUUCAAUCUUAAAGAAGAGAUAAAUAUCAUUUUACCAUUGAAAACUGAAGCAUGAUUAAAGAACCAAGAGAGUAUAUACAAACCACAGGGAGCAAAAAUUUGGGAGUUUGAACAAACAAUUCAGUUCUAAAAAAUGUCAUUUCUCUAAAUAAAAAAUGUCUCCAAAAACUACAGCCAAAUCAUUUGAACUUUUCCACAGAGAUUGGUCAAAGAUAAACACAAGGACAAUGUAGACAAAAGGGUGUUUCUUUCUGUUUCCACAGGGCAAAGGGAAGUUUCAGCACCAAGGACAGAGACAACAAAAGCUAAGAAUUCAGCUUUAUGUAACAAAGAUUUCUCCACUAAUGCAAAGAAAACAGACAAGCUCAAUGUCAAACCACAAAAUGUGCACUAAUCACUUAUCUUUACAUUUACCCUGAUUUUAAAAAAGAAAACAAAAGUCUACAACAUGUUUAUGGUAUAAAUAUGCUGCAAAGAAGUAGAGGGAACACAAACAAAAAUGUUUGAUCUUGUUGAAAAGAAACACAACUGAAGGGUUCAACGAAGCUGAUGGCAACAUGGCAUGACUUUCAGGCUUGAAAAGAAGGAAUUUAAACAAAAUCCACAGAAAACCACAAAAAAAAUUUUUUGAUCUUCUGAAUGGUAUAAGUGAAUACAAAAAAACUAUCUCAAACUAUCGAGAUGACCACAUGGCAAGGUAUUAAGCAGGUGUUCCUACCUCAGGAGAGUCGUCACAGUCUCCAAACACUUCAGUAAAGUCUGAUGGACUUUUCCUCAGAGUCUGGUCAGCUGGCAGUGUGUUGUCAUUGUACGAUGAAACAAACUUAAAGUCACUGGUUCGAGACCCUGUUGUCAGGUAGGCGUCAUAAUUGUAAGCGCUGCGUAAAGUUCCUGUGCCGUCAACAUCUGCGUAAUUAGGAGGGAGAUACGCGCUGGGGAUGGCCACUGCUCCGUCAAACAACAGUCUGGGCUUUCUCCUGCGACAAAACCUCACACCAAGGAUGAUGAUGAUGAAGGUCAGAAAAAAUGUCGACACACACACCAGCGCGAUGAUCAGAUAAGAGGUCAGUUUGGAGUUCUUCUCAUCAUAAGAAAUGUCCUUCAGUUCUGGCACCUCAGCCAAGUUAUCAGAAAUCAGUAAAUACAUGGAACAGGUGGCAGACAGAGAGGGCUGCCCGUUAUCUUUCACUGACACUACAAGGUUCUGUUUCAUGCUGUCAGAUUCAGAAAUGUCCCGCUGGGUCCUGAUCUCUCCACUGUGGACACCAAUAGUGAAAAGUCCCGGAUCCGUGGAUUUCACUAUUUGAUACGACAGCCAGGCGUUCUGUCCAGAGUCCGCGUCCACCGCUAUCACUUUGGACACCAGAGAGCCUCCGUGAGCAGCUUUGGGGACCAGCUCGGUCAUGAACGACUUGCCCUCUGGCCCGGGGUACAGGAUCUGAGGAGAGUUGUCAUUCACAUCUGAUAUGAACACACUCACGGUCACGUUGCUGCUGAGAGGAGGAGAACCGUUGUCUCUGGCCAUCACCUGAACUUUGAAGCUCCGGAACUGUUCAUAAUCAAACGACCUCACAGCGUGGAUCACCCCCGUGUCUCCGUUCACGGACACAUAGGAGGACACCGGGGCACCGUUCACCUCACCGCCUAACAGAGAAUAAAUCACUGUACCGUUCUGUCUCCAGUCGGGGUCUCGAGCACUAACGGAACAUAAAGUGGAGCCAGCUUUGUUAUUCUCACUCACAUAUGCGCUGUACGAC